CCUACGGGAGGCAGCAGUGAGGAAUAUUGGUCAAUGGCCGGAAGGCUGAACCAGCCAUGCCGCGUGAAGGUCAGUGCCCUAUGGGCGUUAAACUUCUUUUGUGCGGGAGCAAUAAUGGUCACGUGUGGCCAGACGAGAGUACCGUACGAAUAAGCAUCUGCUAACUCCGUGCCAGCAGCCGCGGUAAUACGGGGGAUGCAAGCGUUAUCCGGAUUUAUUGGGUUUAAAGGGUGCGUAGGCUGUGAGGUAAGUCAGCGGUGAAAUGCCCCCGCUCAACGGGGUGAAGUGCCAUUGAUACUGCCUUGCUGGAAUGCGGAUGCCGUGGGAGGAAUGUGUGGUGUAGCGGUGACAUGCAUAGAUAUCACACAGAACACCGAUUGCGAAGGCAUCUCACGAAUCCGCGAUUGACGCUGAUGCACGAAAGCGUGGGUAUCAAACAGGAUUAGAUACCCGAGUAGUC
rnacentral:rRNA from 1 species